UACGGAAGGGGGCUAGCGUUGCUCGGAAUCACUGGGCGUAAAGCGCACGUAGGCGGAUUGUUAAGUCAGGGGUGAAAUCCUGGAGCUCAACUCCAGAACUGCCUUUGAUACUGGCGAUCUUGAGUCCGGGAGAGGUGAGUGGAACUCCGAGUGUAGAGGUGAAAUUCGUAGAUAUUCGGAAGAACGACCAGUGGCGAAGGCGGACUCACUGGCCCGGUACGUGACGCUGAGGUGGCGAAAGCGAUGGGGAGCAAACAGGGAUUAAGAU
rnacentral:rRNA from 1 species